UACGGAGGGGGCUAGCGUUGUUCGGAAUUACUGGGCGUAAAGCGCGCGUAGGCGGACCUGCAAGUCGGGGGUGAAAGCCCGAGGCUCAACCUCGGAACUGCCUUCGAUACUGCGGGUCUCGAGUCCGGGAGAGGUGAGUGGAAUUCCUAGUGUAGAGGUGAAAUUCGUAGAUAUUAGGAAGAACACCAGUGGCGAAGGCGGCUCACUGGCCCGGUACUGACGCUGAGGCGCGAAAGCGUGGGUAGCGAACAGG
rnacentral:rRNA from 1 species